AUAAGCAAAAUAAGGGCGUAUGGGGAAUGCCUAGGCUCUCAGAGGCGAAGAAGGACGUGAUAAGCUGCGAAAAGCUACGGGGAUUGGCACACACGAAUUGAUCCGUAGAUAUCCGAAUGGGGCAACCCAGUAUGUUGAAGACAUACUAUCCAAUAUGGAGGCGAACCCGCUGAACUGAAACAUCUAAGUAGGCGGAGGAGAAGAAAACAAAAGUGAUUCCGUAAGUAGUGGCGAGCGAACGCGGAAUAGCCCAAACCAAAGUUGUUACGGCAAUUUUGGGGUUGUAGGACCACGAGAUUUCUUGCGGAUUUAAUUAGAAUUACCUGGAAAGGUAAACCAAAGAGGGUGAUAGUCCCGUAUAAGUAAGAGAAGAUAAGAAUAGUGGUAUCCUGAGUAGGUCGGGGCACGUGAAACCUUGAUUGAAACUGGCGGGACCAUCCGCUAAGGCUAAAUACUCCUGAGAGACCGAUAGUGAACCAGUACCGUGAGGGAAAGGUGAAAAGAACCGUGAAUAACGGAGUGAAACAGAUCCUGAAACCAUACGCCUACAAGCGGUCGGAGCCCCUUUGUGGGGUGACGGCGUGCCUUUUGCAUAAUGAGCCUACGAGUUACCGUUGCUGGCAAGGAUAAGUGAUUAAGUCAUGGAUCCGUAGCGAAAGCGAGUCUUAAUAGGGCGCUUUAGUCAGUAGUGGUAGACGCGAAACCGUGUGAUCUACCCAUGGGCAGGUUGAAGUUUAGGUAACACUAAAUGGAGGACCGAACCGUUUAACGCUGAAAAGUUUUCGGAUGACCUGUGGGUAGGGGUGAAAGGCCAAUCAAACUCGGAAAUAGCUCGUACUCCCCGAAAUGCAUUUAGGUGCAGCGAUGAUCGAUAGUUACUUAGAGGUAGAGCUACUGAUUGGAUGCGGGGGCUUCACCGCCUACCAAUUCCUGACAAACUCCGAAUGCUAAGUAAUGAUAAUCAUCAGUGAGGGCAUGGGUGCUAAGGUCCAUGUCCGAGAGGGAAAGAACCCAGACCAUCAGCUAAGGUCCCCAAAUGUAUGCUAAGUUGAAAAAACGCGGUUUGAUUGCCCAGACAGCUAGGAUGUUGGCUUGGAAGCAGCCAUUCAUUUAAAGAGUGCGUAACAGCUCACUAGUCGAGCGAUCGAGCAUGGAUAAUAAUCGGGCAUAAGUAUACUACCGAAGCUAUGGAUUUGCGCAUUUAGUUGCGUGAGUGGUAGGGGAGCAUUCUAACGGCGCAGAAGGUGAUUUGUGAGAAUUGCUGGAGCUUUUAGAAAAGAAAAUGUAGGCAUAAGUAACGAUAAGGGGUGCGAGAAACACCCCCGCCGUAAGACUAAGGUUUCCUCAGCUAUGCUAAUCAGCUGAGGGUUAGUCGGGACCUAAGGCACACCCGAAGGGGGACGUCGAUGGCCAACGGGUUAAUAUUCCCGUACUACUGAUAAUUGUGAUGGAGUGACACAGUGAUGAAAGCACCGCGAACUGACGGAAUAGUUCGUUGAAGCACGUACCUAUAGGUUUGAUAGUAAAAUGCGUCAGACUUGGAGAAAUGCGAUAGUACUUUGAGUCUUCGGACAACGAGAUAGUGUGCCUAAGGGCUGUCAAGAAAAGCUUCUAAACUUAGAUUAUUAGUACCCGUACCGUAAACCGACACAGGUAGUCGAGGAGAGUAUCCUAAGGCGCUCGAGAGAUUCAUGGCUAAGGAACUAGGCAAAAUAGACCUGUAACUUCGGGAGAAAGGUCGCCAGCGCAAGCUGGCCGCAGUGAAAAGGUCCAGGCGACUGUUUAUCAAAAACACAGGGCUCUGCAAAAUCGUAAGAUGACGUAUAGGGCCUGACACCUGCCCGGUGCUGGAAGGUUAAGAGGAGAUGUUAUC
rnacentral:rRNA from 1 species